UCCCUAGUGGCUCAGUUGGUAAAGAAUCUGUCUGCAACAUAGGAGAACCAGGUUCGAUUCCUGGGUUGGGAA
rnacentral:tRNA from 1 species